AGUGGUGCGAUCAUUGUUGCAGGUUUUCUCAAACAAGAGUGGAAAACAUCAUCGAUGAAUCUUCUGGCAAAUAUUGCAGCUCUUGCAUUAUGUGUGGAAAGAUUUUAUUAGACUUGGGUAGAAAUCCUAGAAGAAUAAAGAAAAGGAGAAAGAGCAAUGUAAAAAUUGUGAAAAAAGAACGUGAUGCAGCUUCUAAGGGUCCUCUGAUCAAGGAAGCAAAGCUACCAAUUAAUUCUGACACAACUCAAGUUUCUCUGAAAAUUGUUGAAGAAUCGUUGUUCAGUGUUGCUUAGUGUGCUGUAGAUUAAAAGCUUAAUUAUCAAUUUUGUUACUAAAUUAUUUUAAAUAAUUUAAUUUGAUCCCUAAUUUUUUUAAGA